rnacentral:snoRNA from 1 species
UGGCCAAGGAUGAGAACUCUAAUCUGAUGGCAUAUGCUUCUUCUGCUAUGAUGGAUUAAAGGAUUUACCUGAGGCCA